AAUCUCCUGGGGAGGGGCGAGAACCAGAGACCCCCCUCCCCCCAAUCUCCUGGGGAGGGGCGAGAACCAGAGACCCCUCCCCAAUCUCCUGGGGAGGGGCGAGAACCAGAGACCCCCCUCCCCCCAAUCUCCUGGGGAGGGGCGAGAACCAGAGACCCCCCUCCCCCCAAUCUCCUGGGGAGGGGCGAGAACCAGAGACCCCCCCCUCUUUUCCAGGCCUGGGCCAGGCCGCCCUUCGCUGAGCAGGGGUCGCCGGGGCCGCUUCCUCAUUCUGCGCCCGCGGGAUCAGAGGGAAGGGGCCGCUGGGCAUUGAUGAGGCACCGGACCAUGCCCGGCGCCGGCGACCCUCGGGAGCAGCCCUGCCCUCAUGGGGUGGGGGGUUACAUUCCCAGCGCAGCCAGGGGUCCGGGCUCCAGAAGCAGCGCAAGCCUCAGUCUCCGCGCUUCUGGUCACCAGCCACCGUUCUAGGCCUCAGCCCCCGCAGCCCUGGGGCUGCAAACCCAGCAUUUAAGGGGCCUCUCUGUCUUUGGCUUUGUGGGGGGCCUGGGCCCAGGAGGGAGUCAAACGGUAAGGCUGGGCUCCUCUUGCAUAAGGAUGGAACUGAAAUCCGGAAAAGCUGGGCCAGCUCUGGGCCCUUCCAAGUCCCCAGGGAUCCCUUCCUUACAACCAGCGGCGUCCUUCCAGAUGUGUGGCUCUGUCUGAUAUUGUGGGCCAUUCUCUCCUCCAGGAUAGCUGGGAUCCCACUUCCCUCUCCUUCCUCUCCCUCUUCCUCCUCCUCUGGCUAUCCCUUCCCUUCCUGGCUCAGCAUCUUUUCCUGCCCAUUAUCUGUAGGUGUUUGCAGAGCAAGAGCCCCUUUCUCUUCUCUCCCAGCACGAUCUUAUUCAGGGAAUACACCAGUUCCUGGGAGUUUCAUUAUAGCUUCUAAAUGUAUUCCUGGUCAAAUGGAUUCAUUCAUAUGUACUUAAAUUGCUCUUCUCAACCCCAUUCUCACAUCACCAACUGCCUGAAGACGCAUCUUAGAUUGGCCACCCUGCAAACAUCUCCAACUCGAGCUGUGCAAAAGACAACUUAUUAUAUAUAUAUUUUUUCUCGACUCUCUUCUUCUGAACUCUCCUGUUCCUGUCCAGGACACCGCCGUACUUUUGAUCAUCUGAGUUCACAAUCUUUUACCCUCUUUUAUCCUUUUCUUCCUCUUCUUCCUCCCUCCCCAUUUCCAGGAUGUUGUUCAAUCUUGUCAUUUCGACAACCUCUCUAGCACUUGUAUCCCCCUCUGUAGCCAGAACCCGCAUAAAAGCUUCAUCCCCACUGACUAGGACUAUUAUAGUAGCUUCCAAUUGGUCUCGCUGCCUUCAAUCUCCCCCAAUCCAAACCUUCCAAAGUGGUUUUCCUACAAUGCAGGCAGGUCUGACCCGGUCACUCCCCUACACUAUUAACUUUAGUGAUUCUCAAAGACUUCUGGGAGCCAACAGAGACUCACUUGUUGGAAGUAUUUAUACCUGUCCUCUUCCUACCUUCCCAUUAUUAUGGUACCCUACUUUCCUCCUCCUUCCCAAUUGGACAAUCUCUUCAUUCUGGACUAUUCUUCAUACACAGGACUUCAUUCCCUCCAUGAGCUUUUGCAUUGACAAUGAAUGCCCUCCUCAUUUCUGUCUCUAGGAACCUUGGUCUUCAAGGCUAACUCAAGUAUCAUCUAAAUGAAGGCUGCUGCUGGGGAGGAAGGUUGAGGACCAGAGGGCCGCUUGGAACGCCCAUCCCUUGCCUCCAGAUGCCCUGUUCUGUGCAGGAUGCUCGCCACACCUCCGCAUGGAAGCGCCACCAUCUAUGCAGCGGCCCAGAGAAGUGAAUCCUCGGAGGCUGUUCAAGCUAGGCUUCUCCACUAGAGCCAACCACUUUCCUGAUGGUGUCAUUUCCACCAGGGUCAUGCUGGUAAUUGUUGACAACUGACUCUCCAAAAAGUGCUCCAUACUUAUAUGUUUAAUCUUCAUUAGCCACACUUUCUCCAUCAUCUUAAAAGUUUAAGCCAGCAAAACAACAACUCAAGCCCUGCUUUUGAGACAAAGGUUCGGAGACAGAGACACAGAAUUGGGAGGCAUCAGGAGCCAUCGGGCACAAGCAUCUGAUUUUAUAGAGAUGAAAGAGCCCCAGGAGGGUGAAGUGAGCUGCAGCAUUUGAACCCAGGUCCUGUGGGCUUCUCAACGAGCCAUCAUUCAUGAGGCAGCCCCAGCUAGAGAACUAGUCCCUGCAGCAGGAAGACCUGCAUUUAAGCUCUGCCUCCAACGCCCACUGGCUGAAUCACCUUGGAUAAGUGUCUGUGUCCUAAGCCACUGCCCAAGACUCUAAGUUGAACUGUCCCGGGCUGGCAGUUUUCUCAUUGUGAGUUCCCAGGUCUCCUCCCAAAUCCGUUCCAUCGACUCCGAUGUGCAAAUACUGUCUCCCCUUGUCCUUGGGGGUCAGGCCUGGUUUUGUCUCUAGAAGGAUACCUGCCAGGUGGCAUGCAGUAGGAAUUUAAUAAAUGUUUACUGCUUGAUAGUAGCUGUGUUCUAAUAGUUGAAUGACUGUCCCAUAAAGAAGGAAUCAACCUAUUCAGUUUAGCCUUGAAGGCUGGACCAGGAAUGUCUGAAAAACCUUCCUGACAGAGCCAAUGGGCAGCGGGAUGGGCCGCC